rnacentral:rRNA from 1 species
AACGAACGCUGGCGGCAUGCCUAACACAUGCAAGUCGAACGAGACCUUCGGGUCUAGUGGCGCACGGGUGCGUAACGCGUGGGAACCUGCCCUUAGGUUCGGACUAACUCCCCGAAAGGGGUGCUAAUACCGCAUAAUGUCUUCGGACCAAAGAUUUAUCGCCUUUGGAUGGGCCCGCGUAGGAUUAGCUAGUUGGUGGGGUAAAGGCCUACCAAGGCGACGAUCCUUAGCUGGUCUGAGAGGAUGAUCAGCCACACUGGGACUGAGACACGGCCCAGACUCCUACGGGAGGCAGCAGUGGGGAAUAUUGGACAAUGGGCGAAAGCCUGAUCCAGCAAUGCCGCGUGAGUGAUGAAGGCCUUAGGGUUGUAAAGCUCUUUUACCAGGGAUGAUAAUGACAGUACCUGGAGAAUAAGCUCCGGCUAACUCCGUGCCAGCAGCCGCAGUAAAAC